UCGGGAAUUUUGGGCAAUGGGCGAAAGCCUGACCCAGCAACGCCGCGUGAGGGAUGAAGUAUUUCGGUAUGUAAACCUCGAAAGAAUGGGAAGAAUAAAUGACGGUACCAUUUAUAAGCUCCGGCUAACUACGUGCCAGCAGCCGCGGUAAUACGUAGGGAGCAAGCGUUGUUCGGAUUUACUGGGCGUAAAGGGAGCGUAGGCGGACUUUUAAGUGAGAUGUGAAAUACCCGGGCUCAACCUGGGUGCUGCAUUUCAAACUGGAAGUCUAGAGGGCAGGAGAGGAGAGUGGAAUUCCUAGUGUAGCGGUGAAAUGCGUAGAGAUUAGGAAGAACACCAGUGGCGAAGGCGACUCUCUGGACUGUAACUGACGCUGAGGCUCGAAAGCGUGGGGAGCAAACA
rnacentral:rRNA from 1 species